CGCGGGGUAGAGCAGUUGGUAGCUCGUCGGGCUCAUAACCCGGAGGUCGAAGGUUCAAGUCCUUUCCCCGCAACCA
rnacentral:tRNA from 4 species